CCUCUGUCCUUGGGGCAUAAUCCAUGCUAGUCAUGUGUACUGGGUUUGUACACACUAGGUGCUUACUCAAUGUUUGCUGAACAGAAGAAUAUCAUUUGCUUCUCUUUUUGCUUAUAUCCAGUUCUCUCAUAUUCUAUACCUCUAUCCCAAUGCUAAUCUUUCCUUACCUUUAACUUUAGCAAAGCAGCUUUUUUUCAAUGCCUAUCAGCUGACAAUUCUAAAGAUUCAACCUAUAAAGCCUAAGAGAUAGGCACAGAGGAAAGAUAAGCACCCCAACCCCCACAGCCAGAGCAUGGUGCCUUCUACACCAACCACAGGUGUCCCAGAGUACUGUGUAUAUAGGCCCAGCAAGAAAGUUGCUAAGUCCUUGUUGCUGCAAUAUUUUCCAUCAAGGUCUGGGCCAGGCAGACAAAAUUGUGCUUAUGGACUUCAGCAAACUCAGCACAAGGAAGGCCAGUGGGCAUGCUGAAGAACUGCCUCUCCAACAUCUUGUCCUCUCCUACAGACUCAGUGACACCAAUAAGUAGAUUCUUGAAGUCCUGUGCAUUUGACAUCUAAAUAACUUGGUCUCACUCUCUGGUUUUCUGUAUCUAAAUUUCCCCUCCCUUUGGGGCAUGAGAUUUAAAAGAAGGCUCUUGAGCAGAGCAAGCAACAGUCUCGUCUUUGAUUUAUGCUAUUACUGGAACUGUAGUCCUUGAAAGCAAUUCCGUCACUACUGUAAUGAGGACGGAGCUUCCGUUAACUAAUAAAUCCUUCAGGAGUGUGUUUCGA